UACGUAGGGUGCAAGCGUUAAUCGGAAUUACUGGGCGUAAAGCGUGCGCAGGCGGUUGUGCAAGACAGAUGUGAAAUCCCCGGGCUCACUGGGAACUGCAUUUGUGACUGCACGGCUAGAGUGUGUCAGAGGGGGGUAGAAUUCCACGUGUAGCAGUGAAAUGCGUAGAUAUGUGGAGGAAUACCGAUGGCGAAGGCAGCCCCCUGGGAUAACACUGACGCUCAUGCACGAAAGCGUGGGGAGCAAACAGG
rnacentral:rRNA from 1 species